ACAAACUUGGUCAUUUAGAGGAAGUAAAAGUCGUAACAAGGUUUCCGUAGGUGAACCUGCGGAAGGAUCAUUAUUGAAAGCUUUUGGGGGAUACUGUUGCUGGCUUUUUAACAAGGCAUGUGCAUGUAUCUCUUGAACUCAUUCAUCCACCUGUGCACCUUUUGUAGAAUGUCUAAAGUACAAAUCGGUUUUGCAUGUGUCUUUAGGGACUAUUGUGAAUAAUGAUAUGGAAAAAGGACUUCUAUGUUUUACAAACAAGUUAAGCAUGUUUAGAAUGUUGUUUUAUUGGGACUUGAUUGACCCAUAGAACUUGUACAACUUUCAGCAACGGAUCUCUUGGCUCUCCCAUCGAUGAAGAACGCAGC
rnacentral:misc_RNA from 1 species